rnacentral:rRNA from 1 species
CCCACCCGUGUCUAUCGUACCUUGUUGCUUCGGCGGGCCCGCCGUUUCGACGGCCGCCGGGGAGGCCUUGCGCCCCCGGGCCCGCGCCCGCCGAAGACCCCAACAUGAACGCUGUUCUGAAAGUAUGCAGUCUGAGUUGAUUAUCGUAAUCAGUUAAAACUUUCAACAACGGAUCUCUUGGUUCCGGCAUCGAUGAAGAACGCAGCGAAAUGCGAUAAGUAAUGUGAAUUGCAGAAUUCAGUGAAUCAUCGAGUCUUUGAACGCACAUUGCGCCCCCUGGUAUUCCGGGGGGCAUGCCUGUCCGAGCGUCAUUGCUGCCCUCAAGCACGGCUUGUGUGUUGGGCCCCCGUCCCCCUCUCCCGGGGGACGGGCCCGAAAGGCAGCGGCGGCACCGCGUCCGGUCCUCGAGCGUAUGGGGCUUUGUCACCUGCUCUGUAGGCCCGGCCGGCGCCAGCCGACACCCAACUUUAUUUUUCUAAGGUUGACCUCGGAUCAGGUAGGGAUACCCGCUGAACUUAAGCAUAUCAAA